rnacentral:rRNA from 1 species
GACGAACGCUGGCGGCGUGCUUAACACAUGCAAGUCGUACGGUAAGGCCCUUUCGGGGGUACACGAGUGGCGAACGGGUGAGUAACACGUGAGUAACCUGCCCACAACUUUGGGAUAACGCUAGGAAACUGGUGCUAAUACUGGAUAUGUGCUCCUGCUGCAUGGUGGGGGUUGGAAAGCUCCGGCGGUUGUGGAUGGACUCGCGGCCUAUCAGCUUGUUGGUGGGGUAGUGGCCUACCAAGGCGGCGACGGGUAGCCGGCCUGUGAGGGUGACCGGCCACAUUGGGACUGAGAGACGGCCCAGACUCCUACGGGAGGCAGCAGUGGGGAAGAUUGCACAAUGGGCGCCAGCCUGAUGCAGCAACGCCGCGUGCGGGAUGACGGCCUUCGGGUUGUAAACCGCUUUCAGCAGGGACGAAGCUUUUUGUGACGGUACCUGCAGAAGAAGCACCGGCUAACUACGUG